AGCAGCCGCGGUAAUUCCAGCUCCAAUAGCGUAUAUUAAAGUUGUUGCAGUUAAAAAGCUCGUAGUUGAAUUUUGGAUUUUGCCCAUUGGUCCAUCUUUAAGAUGAGUACUGAUGUGGUAGGGUCUAUCCGCCUGGUAAUACGUAAUGUCCUUUAUUGGAUGUUGCGGGUAGUCAGGACCUUUACCUUGAAAAAUUAGAGUGUUUAAAGCAGGCUUAUGCCGGAAUACAUUAGCAUGGAAUAAUAGAAUAGGACGAAGUUGUUUUAUUUUGUUGGUUUCUAGGGCAACCGUAAUGAUUAAUAGGGAUAGUUGGGGGCAUUAGUAUUCAAUUGUCAGAGGUGAAAUUCUUGGAUUUAUUGAAGACUAACUACUGCGAAAGCAUUUGCCAAGGAUGUUUUCAUUAAUCAAGAACGAAAGUUAGGGGAAUCGAGGACGGUCAGAUACCGUCGUAGUCUUAACCAUAAACCUAUGCCGACUAGGGAUCGGGCGAUGUUGUUUCCAUGACUCGCUCGGCACCUUA
rnacentral:rRNA from 1 species